rnacentral:pre_miRNA from 1 species
CAUAUACUCCCUCCGUCCGGAAAUACUUGUCAUCAAAAUGGAUAAAAGAGGAUGUAUCUAGAACUAAAAUACGUCUAGAUACAUCUCCGUUUAUCCAUUUUGAUGACAAGUAUUUCCGGACGGAGGGAGUACAUA